CAGGUAGCCGCGGUAGUAGGAUUGGAUGCGCACCGCCGCCUUCUCCUCCCUAGAUAGCCGCGCGUACCCUGCCAGCCUCACCACCUGCGCCGCCGCCUCUGCGGCCGCCGCCGCAGCAUCGGCCGCCGCUGCCGUCGCCGCCGCGACUGCGAUCGCUUGCUUCCUGUCCUCCUCCUCCUCCACCGCCGCCCCCGGCGACCCGUCGUCGUCGUUCGUGGCCUCCGGCGACGUCUCCGCCGGGAAAUGCUCCACCGACACAAUCUCCAGUGCCUCAUUCCCCUCCAACUCCAGCUCCCUCUCCCUCUGCCUCUG
rnacentral:lncRNA from 1 species